AACUAUGUCUUUAAUGUUUGCAAGCAAACCCUGAAGUGAAAUAUAUCAAGUUGAAUUUGGAGAUAAUACAAGAUGUUUAUAGAUGCAAACAGUGACUAGCAUCUCACUGCUGGCAUUUCAAGAAUGAUCAGCUUUAAUAAAAAAAAAAAAAAUUCCUCACACAGAAAAGAGAUAGCCAAGUUACUUUUUAAGAUAUGGAAAACUGAAGGUAACAUUAAUUGAAAGCACUCCUGGUAAUUACAACAGGUAAAUAAAACCGUUUGAUGAGCAGAAACUCAGCUUGAUCCAGCUUUAGGGAAGAGAACACUUGUAUUUGUGAGCCUUCUCACAAAUAAGAAGAGGCAAUCUGUGCAAACACCUUCGUGAAGGCACCUGCAAUACAGACCAAAGGAAUCUGAGGUGCUCCCAAAGGACAGGAGCAAUAGGAGGGAGAUCCAGCGUGGCUGAGGCAGUGACGCAGUGAAUUCUCAGAGCACACCCUUUGAAGUGCAGGAGACUCCUCAUCUACCAUCAUUAAAUCAAGAACACUUUGCCAAAGUCAGCAUUUUAAAGUUUUAGAUUGAUUAUAUUCUUUAGAAGUUUUGUUCUGCUUUAAUUAUUACUCUGUUUAAUGUUAAUAAUCCAUUGUGUUUUAUUUAUAAAUGGGCAUAAGUUGAAAUACAUUUUCUCCACUUUGACACAAUCUCAAGCUUCUCUGUUGUGUUUUGUCCCUCACCUUCCAAAUUAAGUACAACAGUUGCAGGUAACAAUGACGUUGGCGGCUCCUAUGGCAGUCUUGGAUUGCACUCCUAAUGCUGAAAAGUACUCAAGAAUUGGUAACUAUUUUUUGUAAUAAAAAAUCUCAUUAGAAGUUA